rnacentral:antisense_RNA from 1 species
CUUCAGCGAGCCCAGCCACAGGGGCCGCUCUUCCGGCCGCUCCCGCCCGUACGUGGCGAGCAGGGCCUGGGCCUC